rnacentral:rRNA from 1 species
CAACCUGCCCUGUACUGUGGAAUAAUCAUUGGAAACGAUGACUAAUACCGCAUGUGGUCCUCGGAAGGCAUCUUCUGAGGAAGAAAGGAUUUAUUCGGUACAGGAUGGGCCCGCAUCUGAUUAGCUAGUUGGUGAGAUAACAGCCCACCAAGGCGACGAUCAGUAGCCGACCUGAGAGGGUGAUCGGCCACAUUGGGACUGAGACACGGCCCAG